CCCUUAGACGCUCUAGGCGGCACGCGCGCUACAAUGGGUGGUAGAACGUGUAACCGCUCCCGAAAGGGAGGGUGAACCACGAAUACUUACCCGUGAAUGGGAUAGUUUGUUGCAAUUUUCGGACUUGAACUAGGAAUCCCUUGUAAGAAUGCUCAAGAAUAGCGUGCUGAAUACGUCCCUGCCGUUUGUACACACCGCCCGUCGUUUCUUCCGACUGAUACUCAUUGUGAGUUGCAAGGAUUCUUAUUGAAAAAUUGCUGCGAAUGCUUUGUAUUGGAGGAAGAAAAAGUCGUAACA
rnacentral:rRNA from 1 species